AAAACCGCGGCUCGGGAGGCCCUACCGGGCGAAAUGAACGCGCUCGCAGCAUUGGGGGCCGUGAGCUCCCGGCCGCAGGGUCGGUGUGAAUCACCCCAGAGCUCUUAGAAACACCGACAGCCAGGUUGCCCAGUUCUGGGGAAGUGAGGGGGGAUUUCUAGGACUGGGGCCCGACGAAAGGUAUUUUUUGAGCGUUCACCAGGCAAUUGUGUAGCCGGCGUUGAGAAUCUCCACUGCCUACUCUUGGAUGGCACUGUCGGGCUGGUUUGCUCUAAGGUUUGAAUGAAGUCAGAGGCCAAGGAACUGAGGGCAGCUUCCAGCCAACAGCCAGAAAGGAACCAAGACCCUCAGUCCAGUAGCUUGUUAGGAAUUGAGUCCUUCCAAGGACCAGAACAUGAACUUAGAAGUGGACCCUUCUCUAGUUGAACCUUGAGAUGCCUCUGCAGCCCCAGUGAACACCUUGACUGCAGCCUUCUGAGAGAUACUGAGCCAGAGGACACUGUUAAACCUCACCCAGAUCCCUCAUCCAUAGAAUUAUGAGUUUUUACCAACACUUUCUCCUCUGGCUUACUGAUGAGUAAGCAAGGACUAAAAAGAAAAGGGAAUCAAUUCUGGUUCAAACAGGAAGCAUAGCCUCGUGGGGUUCAGUUGUAGAAGCAACACACUUACUGUGUACUUGAUUUGCAUCGCUCUCAACUUUCACCUAUUCUGGGUCUCCUGGAAUCCAGUGCACAUGGACACACAAAACAGUACAUGUGAAUUGGGAGGUAAGGAGUCUCAGACCAAGGGAGAAGACAUGAUUUGCCCUAGAUUGCCCAACUAGUUGGAAUUAGAAACCAGCUCUUUUGAUCCAAGUCUGAAGUAUUAGUGAUGACUCUGAAUGGUGAGAACCAAAAAACAAUUCAAACUAACUUGGAAAGUUGUUGGUCAUGCCUUUGAGAAGCGAGUGGAUUGCAGUUAUGGCUUGAUCUAAGGGUACCAACUGUUUUAGUUUCAUUCAAUUCUCUUUCCACUUUCUCCAUCUCCAGAAUCAGCUUCCAUCUUUGGUGGCCUCAGUUCCUCCUAGUGGUGGCAGGCUUUAUCCAUGCUGCUGGUAAAGAUGUUCUUAAGUAGCCACAGAAUCGCAUGUUCCUUGCUUACUGACUUAAUGGAAAACAUGAAAUGAAACUCAUUCCUAUCAUUUGAACAUCAGUCAGGAUGCUGAUUGCCUCUGCUUGGAUCACAUGGGCACCACCAUGAAAGUCACCAAUGCCCAAAAUGUGAGGGAUCAUGACUGGCCAGACAUGGCUCACAUGUCCACUCUCUUUGGCCAGAGAAACCCAUCUGCUCCUAAGGGCAAUGUUGGGAGAAUAUACUGGACAGACAAAAACGAUGGCUUCGUAGCUCACUGCAUUAGAAAAAAUCUUAGAAGAUUUAAAAUUACGCAAGUAAAUAAAAGAAAACAGAUAGUGUUGAAACCUAAUUUUAUACUUUUGGAAUAUUGAAAAAAAGUUGGAGAUAUUGAUUAAGCUAUUGUUUGCUCUAUUAGGUCUUAUUGCAAAUAAUGAAUAAUUGUUAUCAGCAUAGUUCACUCUCCUUUUUCCAUAAGCCUCCCUCAUGCCCCCCAUGAUCCAAACCUAUCCACUAAUAAUUAGCAAAGUUCAUGUUUACAUUCUCUCUUUAUCCCUCUUAUUUUCAACUGUAAAACUCCAGGUAAGCAUCAGAGAAAAUUCUUAUUAAAAAAACAUUUAGCAUUUCUU